UAAGCUAUAAACCGAAGCUGCGGCAAUGACUUUUAGUCAUUGGGUAGGGGAGCGUUCUGUAAGCCGUUGAAGGUGUGUUGUAAAGCAUGCUGGAGGUAUCAGAAGUGCGAAUGCUGACAUGAGUAACGAUAAAGGGGGUGAAAAACCUCCUCGCCGGAAGACCAAGGGUUCCUGUCCAACGUUAAUCGGGGCAGGGUAAGUCGACCCCUAAGGCGAGGCCGAAAGGCGUAGUCGAUGGGAAACGGGUUAAUAUUCCCGUACUUCUUACAAUUGCGAUGGGGGGACGGAGAAGGCUAGGUGGGCCUGGCGACGGUUGUCCAGGUUCAAGUGCGUAGGCUUGAGAGUUAGGUAAAUCCGGCUCUUUCUAAGGCUGAGACACGACGUCGAGCAACUACGGUUGUGAAGUCAUUGAUGCCAUGCUUCCAGGA
rnacentral:rRNA from 1 species